rnacentral:rRNA from 1 species
UACCAGCACCCCGAGUGGUCGGGACGAUUAUUGAGCCUAAAGCAUCCGUAGCCGGUUCUGCAAGUCCCCCGUUAAAUCCAGCUGCUCAACAGAUGGGCCGCGGAGGAUACUACAGAGCUAGGAGGCAGGAGAGGCAAGCGGUACUCAGUGGGUAGGGGUAAAAUCCGUUGAUCCAUUGAAGACCACCAGUGGCGAAGGCGGCUUGCCAGAAUGCGCUCGACGGUGAGGGAUGAAAGCUGGGGGAGCAAACCGG